UACCGGAGCCCCGAGUGGUGACCAUGAUUAUUGGGCCUAAAGCGUCCGUAGCCGGAUUAGUAAGUUCUCGGUGAAAUUGUCAAGCUUAACUUGACGAAUGGCCUUGAAUACUGCUAAUCUAGGGAUCGGGAGAGGUCAAGAGUAUGCCUGGGGGAGGGGUAAAAUCCUUUAAUCCUAGGUAGACUACCAAUGGCGAAGGCACUUGACUAGAACGAGUCCGACGGUGAGGGUCGAAAGUUAGGGUAGCAAA
rnacentral:rRNA from 1 species